UGGACUCGUGGGCUGGACUUCUAUUUGAUCCGAGUCCUGGUCUAACUUGUUAAUUGUGUAUUUUAAAUGAAUCUGCAAAAAUACCCAAGAGUUAUUAGUAUUCACACAUAGGUAUUUUAUUUUGAUUUGUGAUUUAUAUAAAAGUCCUUAGAUUAAUAUAAAACUAAAAUAUUAAAACAAUUGGAACUUUUAUACUUAAGACCUCUGUAAAAACAUUACAGAAGUAUUUUAGAAUCUUUUAUUAUUUGUAUUGUACUUUAGGUCCAACUAACGAAUUAAUUGGAACUUUUGUAUUUUAAGUCCCUGUUGGUUAAUACAAAACAGUUUAUUCUGUUUUGUAGAAACCUUAGGACUUUUUAUAUUAGACUUAGGUCCUAACUUAGUUUCUUAGGGUAAACUUUUAUUUUACCCUAGAUUUCAGCUGUAUUUCUUAUACAUACGAACCUAACCGAAUUGUGUCACUCGUCUGAUCUCAUUUCCUGCAAUGUUAAUAGUAUCACACGUCUGAUCCCAAAUUGAAUCUCACCAUUGUAAAUAACAAAAUCUCACACAUAAAUUGCAAAUCGUUCCCAAAUAACAAAAUCUCAUAAUAGCAAAUAACAAAAUCUCACACAUAAGUAGCCAGUCGUUCACAAAAUCCCAACGCUCGUCCAAUCACCGCCAUCGUUGACAUCUGCCUUUCUAGUAACAGGUCGAACGAAAGCUUGUGCAUACGAACCUAACCGAAUUGUGUCACUCGUUUGAUCUCAUUUCUUGCAAUGUUAAGAGUAUCACUAUUGUAAAUAACAAAAUCUCACACAUAAAUUGCAAAUCGUUCCCAAAUAACAAAAUCUCAGAAUAGCAAAUAACAAAAUCUCACACAUAAGUAGCCAACGUUCGCAAAAUCUCACCAUUGCAAAUCGUUUCCAAAUAACAAAAUCGCAGAAUAGCAAAAAACAAAAUCUCAUACAUAAAUAGCCAAUCGUUCACAAGAUAACAGGAAAGGGAUAGAAAGUUAAAAAAUACCUGACGAUGGAAGAAGAAGAAAAACAUACCAGGACGACGACAAGUAG
rnacentral:lncRNA from 1 species